UACGGGGGGAGCAAGCGUUGUUCGGAUUUACUGGGCGUAAAGGGCGCGUAGGCGGUCAGCACAAGUCAGUUGUGAAAUCUCCGGGCUUAACUCGGAAAGGUCAACUGAUACUGUGCGACUAGAGUGCGGAAGGGGCAACUGGAAUUCUUGGUGUAGCGGUGAAAUGCGCAGAUAUCAGGAGGAACACCAAUGGCGAAGGCAGCUCGCUGGGACGGUACUGACGCUGAGACGCGAAAGCGUGGGGAGCAAACAGG
rnacentral:rRNA from 1 species